rnacentral:rRNA from 1 species
CCUACGGGAGGCAGCAGUGAGGAAUAUUGGUCAAUGGACGCAAGUCUGAACCAGCCAAGUAGCGUGCAGGAUGACGGCCCUCCGGGUUGUAAACUGCUUUUAGUUGGGAAUAAAAGGGGGCUCGUGAGCCCCGUAUUGUAUGUACCAUCAGAAAAAGGACCGGCUAAUUCCGUGCCAGCAGCCGCGGUAAUACGGAGGGUCCGGGCUUUAUCCGGAUUUAUUGGGUUUAAAGGGAGCGUAGGACGGCUUUUAAGUCCGCUGUGAAAGUCCUAGGCUCAACCGGGGAAGUGCAGUUGAAACUGGAGGCCUUGAGUGCACACAGGGAUGCCGGAAUUCAUGGUGUAGCGGUGAAAUGCUUAGAUAUCAUGAAGAACUCCGAUCGCGAAGGCAAGUGUCCGGGGUGCAACUGACGCUGAGGCUCGAAAGUGCGGGUAUCUAAUCCUGUUAGAUACCCUAGUAGUC